CGGCAGCACGGAGCUUGCUCUGGUGGCGAGUGGCGAACGGGUGAGUAAUAUAUCGGAACGUACCCUGGAGUGGGGGAUAACGUAGCGAAAGUUACGCUAAUACCGCAUACGAUCUACGGAUGAAAGUGGGGGAUCGCAAGACCUCAUGCUCGUGGAGCGGCCGAUAUCUGAUUAGCUAGUUGGUAGGGUAAAAGCCUACCAAGGCAUCGAUCAGUAGCUGGUAUGAGAGGACGACCAGCCACACUGGAACUGAGACACGGUCCAGACUCCUACGGGAGGCAGCAGUGGGGAAUUUUGGACAAUGGGCGAAAGCCUGGUCCAGCAAUGCCGCGUGAGUGAAGAAGGCCUUCGGGUUGUAAAGCUCUUCUGUCAGGGAAGAAACGGUGAGAGCUAAUAUCUCUUGCUAAUGACGGUACCUGAAGAAUAAGCACCGGCUAACUACGUGCCAGCAGCCGCGGUAAUACGUAG
rnacentral:rRNA from 1 species